rnacentral:rRNA from 1 species
AUUGAACGCUGGCGGCAUGCUUUACACAUGCAAGUCGAACGGACACAGGCCGCACGGUCCUGUCGAGUGGUGGACGGGUGAGUAAUAGUACGGCACGUGCACCGUCGCUAGGGAUCACUGCUAGAAACGGUAACCAAUACCGCAUACGAGCUAUUGAUUAGAACGGGAUGCCUUAAAAGCGCAAGCCAUUGUAGCGGCCGCUGAUAGAUUGAGUCGUGUCUGAUUAGGUAGUUGGUAAGGUAAAGGCUCACCAAGGCAACGAUGUGUAGCUGACCUGAGAGGACGACCAGCCACACUGGGACUGAGACACGGCCCAGACUCCUACGGGAGGCAGCAGUGGGGAAUUUUGGACAAUGGGCGCAAGCCUGAUCCAGCAAUGCCGCGUGCAGGAAGAAGGCCUUCGGGUUGUAAACUGCUUUUGUACGGAACGAAACUGCGCUUGUGAAUACCCGCGGCUAAUGACGGUACCGUAAGAAUAAGCACCGGCUAACUACGUG